UCCAGCUUUUCAAAUGUGAGGAUUUGAAGCUUUUAUUGGUCUUAUGUGAUAGUAAACUGACAUUUUAUUGAUCGAUUAAUUGAGAAAAUAAUCAGCAUAUCCAUCUAUAAUUAAAAGAAUUGUCAGUUGCUGCCCAGAUAACCACACACAAAUGAUUUCAUGCAUGUGUCCACAUGAAUACAGGAGGAGGAAAAGAGAGUGGAGGGAGAUCUUCAGGCCUCUGAGGUGCAUAACAACGUGUAGGGAAUGACAGAGGUGGAAAAUGGUCGGUCAGUGGGGUCCAGGAGGUGAAGUCCAACACUGCCCCCACCAGGAGUUCCCAGCAGGCUUCUGGGAUCACACAUCAAGGUCUGUCGCUGGCCCACGACCCCUGCCCAGGCCUCAGUGAUGGGGAGGGGCCAAGAUUGAGUGGGCCAGAGGAGACAACACACCAUAGCUGUGUGCAACUGCACAGAGGAGGGCAAAUCCAAGACAGGACAUGCGUAUUACAUGUUUUCAUUUGCCCUUAUAUAUGCCUCAAUAGUGAAACAAUCCCUCUUUUCAUGCCCAUGGUUUCAUUCAGUGGGUGGCGAGA